ensembl:lncRNA
CAGCUACUCUUCCUGGGGUCCACAAAAAACAUGAAACAUGACAUAAUACAGAACAUUAAUAGACAAGAACAGCUCAAGGACAGAACUACAUAUAAUAAAAAAUAAUAAAAAACACAACUACUGACCCCAUAACUACUGACCACAACCACACAACUUAUGACCACAACCACACAACUAUUGACCACACAACUAGUGACCACACAACUACUGACCACAAUUACUGACCACAACCACACAACUACACUACCGUUCAAAAGUUUGGGGUCACUUAGAAAUGUCCUUGUUUUUGAAAGAAAAGCAAGUUUUUUGUCCAUUCAAAUAACAUCAAAUUGAUCGGAUAUACAGUGUAGACAUUGUUGAUGUUGUAAAUGACUGUUGUAGCUGGAAACGGCUGAUGUUUAAUGGAAUAUCUACAUAUGCGUACGGAGGCCCAUUAUCAGCAACCAUCACUUCUGUGUUCCAAUGGCACAUUGUGUUAGCUAAUUCAAGUUUAUCCAUUUAAAAGGCUAAUUGAUCAUUAGAAAACCAUUUUGCAAUUAUGUUAGCACAGCUAAAAACUGUUGUCCUGAUUAAAGAAGCAAUAAAACUGGCCUUCUUCAGACUAGUUGAGUAUCUGGAGCAUCAGCAUUUGUGGGUUCGAUUACAGGUUCAAAAUGGCCAGAAACAAAGAACUUUCUUCUGAAACUAAUCAGUCUAUUCUUGUUCUGAAAAAUGAAGGGGAGGACACCUCACACCCAUUGUAAAUCUUAAGGCAGCAGACGAAUCCUUUGUCCUCUCAGUGUGGAGGAUUGGAAUGUUUGUGUGGGCCUAUGAAGAAUCUACCUCAGAACAGUAACAUGCACUAAAUGGACUUGGGGACAAUAUAUUUCAUUAGCCAAAAUGGUGGUAAUAACGAUAGAUGUAAUAUGAACAUUUUUGUCAUUUUUGUUAUGUUAUUAAAUGUUAAAUGACAAUGUUAAAAUGAAAACAUUAUAACUUGAAGAGUUUUCAUAAAAUGUACAUGAUGUUUGCAUACCGUGCAUUGUGUGGAAAAUGUCCAUAUCAAAGAGAAUGUUUUUGUAAAAGUGAACUGUGAAAUUGAGUUGUCUAAUGAGAUCAAAGUACAUUGUGAUAGCUUGCCUUGUAACUAGAUACACCCCAGAGAACUUGCCAUGAAGACAGAAACAUCCCUUUCUGACCCGACGGUAUAAAACUUGUGAGUUAAGAAUUUACAAUUCAGACUAGAUGACCACGCGCUGCAGGCAAGGUCUACGAUUAGUCGCAACCCCAAAACGCAACACGAGGUUGAAGAAGACAAAGGAACCUCUUAACAAUCAAUGCUACGGUUGAGUAGCUGUAUCUGUAUCUAAGAAGGUGAAUUCAAGCAGGACCACCCCGUUAUUCUCUCAAAGGAAUAUUGUGUCUACACUGCUUUCAUUCCCACGCUGGAACAAUUUACAUGGCUGAUUAGCCUUCCUCAGAAGACCCCUCUUACAGAACGAGGGCGAGGAAACAGACCACGAAGAGAAAGGACACUGACAUCGUGUGAACAAUCAAAGACUUACACCCGGUGACAAAAGAGGAGCCGCCAUUAGAGGAGAAGGCGGGAACUCAGUCCACGAAGAGAGACCCCAACGGAGACCUUCGACGAGACCUGAGCCCUAGGACCAUGCCCCAGGACUACCUGACAUGAUGACUCCUUGCUGUCCCCAGUCCACCUGGCCGUGCUGCUGCUCCAGUUUCAACUGUUCUGCCUUAUUAUUAUUCGACCAUGCUGGUCAUUUAUGAACAUUUGAACAUCUUGGCCAUGUUCUGUUAUAAUCUUCACCCGGCACAGCCAGAAGAGGACUGGCCACCCCACAUAUGCUCUCUCUAAUUCUCUCUUUCUUUCUCUCUCUCGGAGGACCUGAGCCCUAGGACCAUGCCCCAGGACUACCUGACAUGAUGACUCCUUGCUGUCUCCAGACCACCUGGCCGUGCUGCUGCUCCAGUUUCAACUGUUCUGCCUUAUUAUUAUUCGACCAUGCUGGUCAUUUAUGAACAUUUGAACAUCUUGGCCAUGUUCUGUUAUAAUCUCCACCCGGCACAGCCAGAAGAGGACUGGCCACCCCACAUAGCCUGGUUCCUCUCUAGGUUUCUUCCUAGGUUUGGGCCUUUCUAGGGAGUUUUUCCUAGCCACCGUGCUUCUACACCUGCAUUGCUUGCUGUUUGGGGUUUUAGGCUGGGUUUCUGUACAGCACUUUGAGAUAUCAGCUGAUGUACGAAGGGCUAUAUAAAUAAAUUUGAUUUGAUUUGAUUUAUAGAUACAGGCAGACAUACAUGCCCACCAGCGUGUCUUCACCCACGCAACCCUAUUAUAGCCACACUGGGUUAUUUUUAAUAACAAGGCUCUUCAUUUGCCUUUCGCGUUAAUUGUUUAACACUGGGAAAGGUAUGAUGGUCAGAUGUGAGCCAACUGUUACUUCCUUUGGACAACUGUGGCUAAGUUAAUUAAACAGUAUUUUUCCAUCACUCUACGACCAUUAAUAACAAUCCCCUCUGACGUUGUCCACUUCAACUGUUCCUUAGGGUGUAGUUAAGAUUCACGUUUGGAACAGCAAGUGCUGUUUGUAUUUCCAUUGCACAAGUGAUGUCAUUAGUUCAAAUUCCCUUUUGACAUACAGAGUUAUUAUUAAAGUGAAAUAUACAGAUAGAUACAGUGGGGAGAAAUACUAUUUGAUACACUGCCGAUUUUGCAGGUUUUCCCACUUACAAUGCAUGUAGAGGUCUGUAAUUUUUAUCAUAGGUACACUUCAACUGUGAGAGACGGAAUCUAAAACAAAAAUCCAGAAAAUCACAUUGUAUGAUUUUUAAGUAAUUAAUUUGCAUUUUAUUGCAUGACAUAAGUAUUUGAUCAACUACCAACCAGUAAGAAUUCCGGCUCUCACAGACCUGUUCGUUUUUCUUUAAGAAGCCCUCCUAUUCUCCACUCGUUACCUGUAUUAACUGCACCUGUUUGAACUCGUUACCUGAAUAAAAUACAUCUG